AUUGAACGCUGGCGGCAGGCUUAACACAUGCAAGUCGAGCGGGGGGAGGUAGCUUGCUACCUAACCUAGCGGCGGACGGGUGAGUAAUGCUUAGGAAUCUGCCUAUUAGUGGGGGACAACAUUUCGAAAGGGAUGCUAAUACCGCAUACGCCCUAAGGGGGAAAGCAGGGGAUCUUCGGACCUUGCGCUAAUAGAUGAGCCUAAGUCGGAUUAGCUAGUUGGUGGGGUAAAGGCCUACCAAGGCGACGAUCUGUAGCGGGUCUGAGAGGAUGAUCCGCCACACUGGGGCUGAGACACGGCCCAGACUCCUACGGGAGGUAGCAGUGGGGAAUAUUGGACAAUGGGGGGAACCCUGAUCCAGCCAUGCCGCGUGUGUGAAGAAGGCCUUUUGGUUGUAAAGCACUUUAAGCGAGGAGGAGGCUACCGAGAUUAAUACUCUUGGAUAGUGGACGUUACUCGCAGAAUAAGCACCGGCUAACUCUGUGCCAGCCGCCGCGGUAAUAC
rnacentral:rRNA from 1 species